AACAUUUUUGUUGUGAGUAUGUGGCAGUUUGCAAAGGUGCUUAUUUAAAAGGAAGCUGUCCUUGAAGAAGGUACAAUUGCUUUUAAAAAUUGGGUUAAAACAGGCACAGAAGUUUACAGACAGUUUUGGAUCUUUGAUGUGCAGAAUCCAGAGGAAGUAGCAAUUAAUAGCAGCGUAAUUAAAGUUGAGCAAAGAGGUCCUUACACGUACAGAUAUCUUACAAAUGAUUAGAAGAAUUGAUUCCUUCUGAGACCUCAUCAGAUCAUUUCCUGCAAAAUCCUCAUCUUGCUGUCUACUUGUGGAAAAGGAAGCUGUCCUUGAAGAAGGUACAAUUGCUUUUAAAAAUUGGGUUAAAACAGGCACAGAAGUUUACAGACAGUUUUGGAUCUUUGAUGUGCAGAAUCCAGAGGAAGUAGCAAUUAAUAGCAGCGUAAUUAAAGUUGAGCAAAGAGGUCCUUACACGUACAGAUAUCUUACAAAUGAUUAGAAGAAUUGAUUCCUUCUGAGACCUCAUCAGAUCAUUUCCUGCAAAAUCCUCAUCUUGCUGUCUACUUGUGGAAAAGGAAGCUGUCCUUGAAGAAGGUACAAUUGCUUUUAAAAAUUGGGUUAAAACAGGCACAGAAGUUUACAGACAGUUUUGGAUCUUUGAUGUGCAGAAUCCAGAGGAAGUAGCAAUUAAUAGCAGCGUAAUUAAAGUUGAGCAAAGAGGUCCUUACACGUACAGAGUUCGUUAUUUAGCCAAGGAAAAUAUAACCCAGGACCCUGAGACGCACACAAUCUCUUUCCUACAGCCCAAUGGUGCCAUCUUUGAACCCUCGCUAUCAGUUGGAAGAGAGAAUGACACCUUCACUGUUCUCAGUCUGGCUGUGGCAGAACCUAUCAUGUCCAGCCACCCAGCACAUCACCUCUAACCAACAGGAAGUAGCUACAGAAGAGAGGUCCGUCACCCCCUAUCCCAUAUAAAAUCAGCUGGAAUGACAGGUUCCCAGGAGGAAGGAGACAGACCCCUACCCAAUAAAUGUAACAGUUCACCUUGAAGACCUGCUAUGGACAUGGUCUCCAGAAUUGGAUUGAUCCAUAGAAACCACAUAAAUGCCCUGCAGUCAGUAUUUACUAUGACUGUUCUUAUGCAACAAAUAAAUAAAAAACAAGGAGAUGUUGGAGAUCACUGAACAGCUCAACUCUGCUGAAGGCAAAUAUCUGCUGACACAGAGUUCUAGAAUAUACGGAUCCUUCAAAGAUAUUAUGCAUAAACUAUGCUAUUCUGUAAGUAGCUGCAGUAUAUGCAGUUAGAGGUAUGCACCAGUGCUAAUAGUUUCCUUUAUUAUUCACUAAGAGGUAGCCUUGUCAUUGCCUACAGCUGCUCCUGCCUACUAAUCUAUAUAUGGCACCUUCCUUAAUAAAAGUUGUGUGGGCUAAAGCCAGGGCCUUUUGUUCUCCGGAAAAGAGUGCCUCCUUGUCCCCCACUUUGUCUUGUAUUUUUUUUUGUUUUUUUUUUUGUUUUUUUUGUUUUUUUUUUUUAUACUGUGCCAUCCCUGUUCCAGGAUUCCCCAUAUCCCUGCAGCAAAGAACUGAGUUUGGAACUAUUUUGGCUCAAAGAGCCAAGCUGACAGCUACUGCUUUUUACUAAUCCUGCCUUCAGUGUAUGCAGUUGAGGACUAUAGUCUUAAUGGAAAGAUGGACCUAUAUGAAUGAGUAUAAGUAAUUUGUGGUGGAUAGUUUUAUAAACUCCACCUCCUAAGCAUUAAAAGAAUUCAGUUAUCAGGGACUUCUGAUACACUAUCUUAAAAUGGAAAUAUAUUUGUGAUAAAAUAUAAAUAUUUGUCACUUCUGAUAUAGACAAGGAGCAGGAUUCUAAAAAUGUUCUCUUUUCUGAAACUUGUUUGAAAUAUCAAUAUAUGUUAAUGUUUCAUAUUUUCCUACAGUUAACUGAGUAAUUAUUUAAAAUUAAAGAUCCUAAAAGAUUGUGAACACUCUCUGUAUUGAUUUUUAUAUUAUCUAUGUACAAAAC